AAAUAAUGAGGGCGCAAUUUCAAUCUCACGCACGCACUCUGACAGCAAUGCAUGCGGCAAUAAUGCAAAGACAUCCACGACAGUAUAAAUAACCAUGCCACCUUCAAGCAAGAUUAACAGGCCACAAACGGAUUUACAAAAAAAUCAUGCGAGACGAAGGCGGUUAAAAACCCUUCAAAAACAAAAGAAGAAGCAACAAGUCAAAGAGCCAGAAAACAAAGAAAAGGAUAAAAGUGUUGUUCUAAAUUUUCAUCGAAGACGGAAACGGUAGGAAACUGAUUCAGAUUUUCA